GGAAGUGCAGGAAGUAGAGCAAUUUCUUGCUUAUUCUCUUUUUCUCUUUCUUUUUUCAAAAUUUUCAAAGCCAUUUCAUAAAUUGGCAAAGGAUUAUGCCAUUCUGUUUCUUUGCUGAUGCCAGUCCAUGGGCCAGAAUAUGAAGAAGAAUCUCUUCAUGGUUGGUAGGUUUUGUAUAGAACAAUUCAAGCAACUAGCAGGGAUCUAACACGAAUUUCUAUUGGAGAAAUUCACCAGAUGACCUUGUCCACUCUUGACAAACUAUGUAAGCAUAAAAGUUGCCCAAAUCUUAGUUAAACAUAAUAAUGCUCGAGCGAUGCCGAGAUACAACAAGCUACCAUCACCAAACAAAUCUUAAGACUUUGCCCUUUUGUAUUAUAAUAUAGAACUAGAUUAGGAGGACCGUGGUAAUGGAUUAAUGAAUUAACUCUUUUUGAUACACAGGAUUCAGUAAGAGCGACAAGCGUAGAGCAUACUCUUGUCUUAGUAGAGGAUUAUAUGAAUAAAAUAGAAUUUUUUAUUUUCAAGAGAGGGAGAAAUUUAGAAAAUCAUAAGAUAAAGAAGUUGGAAUGUUAUUUCUCGAUAAGUCUUAUUACAAAUAACACCAAAGCUCCCUUUAUAUGGGAAGAGAGCUAGAACUAUUACAAUCACUUUUUCAUACAGACACAUUUUUACCUAAUAGUUAGGUAAGUAUAUCUAACAAGAUAAGAACUAGUUAAGUAGGCAGAUGACCCAUACCUAACUAAGUCAUACAGAAAGGCAUCAUGUGC
rnacentral:misc_RNA from 1 species